rnacentral:rRNA from 1 species
UGAAUACGAGAUGCUACGGCGUCGAAGCAGUCUAUGUCAUACUUCCAAGAAAAGCUUGCACUGUCAUAAACAAAUAAUGCCUGUACCAUAACCGACACAGGUGGGUAGGUAGAGUAUACUAAGGGGCGCGAGAUAACUCUCUCUAAGGAACUCGGCAAAAUGACUCCGUAACUUCGGGAGAAGGAGUGCCUUAUUUAUAAGGUUGCAAUAACAAGAUCCAAGCAACUGUUUACCAAAAACACAGGUCUCCGCUAAGUCGUAAGACGAUGUAUGGGGGCUGACGCCUGCCCAGUGCCAGAAGGUUAAAGAAGUUGGUUAGCAUCCGCGAAGCUGAUAACUGAAGCCCUGGUGAACGGCGGCCGUAACCAUAACGGUCCUAAGGUAGCGAAAUUCCUUGUCGGGUAAGUUCCGACCCGCACGAAAGGCGUAAUGAUUUGGAUACUGUCUCGGAGAGGGGCUCGGUGAAAUAGACUUGUCUGUGAAGAUGCGGACUACCUGCACCAGGACAGAAAGACCCUAUGAAGCUUUACUGUAACCUGAAAUUGAAAUUGGACUUUACUUGCGCAGUAUAGGUGGGAGGCGUUGAGAAUAUUCUUGCGGGAUUAUUGGAGCCAUCAGUGAGAUACCACUCUUGUAAUGUUAGAUUUCUAACUUUGUAUCAUUAUCUGGUCAAAGAACAGUUUCAGGCGGGCAGUUUGACUGGGGCGGUCGCCUCCUAAACGGUAACGGAGGCGCACAAAGGUUUCCUCUGAACGGGUAGAAAUCGUAUCUAGAGUGUAAAGGCAUAAGGAAGCUUGACUGUGAGACCUACAAGUCGAGCAGGGACGAAAGUCGGUCUUAGUGAUCUGACGGUGCUGAGUGGAAAGGCCGUCACUCAACGGAUAAAAGUUACUCUAAGGAUAACAGGCUGAUCUCCCCCAAGAGUUCACAUCGACGGGGAGGUUUGGCACCUCGAUGUCGGCUCAUCGCAUCCUGGGGCGGUAGUACGUCCCAAGGGUUGGGCUGUUCGCCCAUGAAAGCGGUACGCGAGCUGGGUUCAGAACGUCGUGAGACAGUUCGGUCCAUAUCCGGUGUAGGCGUUAGAAUAUUGAGAGGAGCCUUCUUUAGUACGAGAGGACCGAGAAGGACAUACCUCUGGUGUACCAGUUAUCGUGCCAACGGUAAACGCUGGGUAGCUAUGUGUGGAGUGGAUAACCGCUGAAAGCAUCUAAGUGGGAAGCCCACCUCAAGAUAAGUAUUCUCA